AAGAUUAAUCAAAUCCUCCUGACGAAAACGGUAACGUUUUAAAGCUAAAAUAGACUCGACAAACUGAGUCAAGGGAUGAUGAGCCAUGGCUUCGCUUCUACCAAGAUAAAAAGGAAUCUGAUACUGGUCAAAAAUGGUUUUGAGAGAUAACUGGUAAGAAGCUACAUCCCCCAAGAGAAUACGAAAAUGCUUGUAGCUCAGGUCUGAGUUCUCAUGUAAUUUCUGACGAAUGCUACGGGCUACUAGCUCCAACUCCUCCUUUUGCGUCAAACAAGACCAGAUUUGUAAAUUUUCACGGUCUUUCUCAUCGACAUCCAAAGCGAGUUCUGAAAAGUCAUAAGAAGACUCCAACAAACGAGAGGCCUUGUCAAAACUAUCCAUCUUCUCAUGAGUUUGAGAACAGUCCUGAGCGGGCGUUUGGUAUUUAGAAGCCAGAUGAUGGAGAAAUUUUACGCUGGCUUGGUAGAGAUUGCCCUCGCUAAAAGGACUGGUAUAGGCUUUCUUACUAGCAUAAGCCCCGAUAACAAUCUCAGCACCUUUGCCGUGAAGUAAGUCCACAACCCGCUCUUCCUCAGCAGAAAAACGAGUAAAGCCGUCAAUGACCAAGGCGAUUUGAUUAAAAUCACUACUUACCUUGUCAUUCUCAAUAGCCUCAAUCAAAUGGGACAACUGACUUCCCUGGGCUAACUGCCCUUGAUUAAGAUAGGCUGUUACUUUCUCAAAAAUCAAGAGUAAAUCCGCCCUCUUAUCCUCAUCUGUUAAAUUCUCCAAGUCCAAAAAAUUCAUCUGAGAUUUGGUCAUCUCAUGGUAAAGCUCAAUUAACUGCUGGAUCAAUUGAGGAUCCUGCUUAAUAGCGCCAUAAACACGCAAGUCCUUGGGAUCGAGUUCGGCAAGGCAUUUGUAAAAGGCCAACCCAAGACCGAUAUCAUCAAGAGUAGUUUUAGCUGGUAAAUCAUUCAAGACCAGAUAACGAGCCAUUUGAGCAAAGCGCGUGACGGUAAUCGAAAAAGAAGCCUGCUGGGACAAGCAUUCCAGCACGGCGCGUUCCUUUUCAAAAGAAAGAGAGUUGGGGGCAAUGUAGAAGACCCGCUUGCCAGCUGCAACUAGCUCUUCUGCCUCUCUUGUUAGAAUUUCUGUCAAAGAAGUUCGAAUAUCAGUAUAAAGUAAUUUCAUCUCAGCCUCGUUGGAAUUUUUCAUCACCCUAUAUUAUACCAUGAUUAGCCUCGUAAAUCUGUUAAAAUAUUUAGGCCAUCCUUUCUUUUCUUCAUCAUCUGCUAAAUCUUAAAUACUUAGCUUUACUUGUAUUAGAUAGAAUAAGUCUGGCUACUGAAAAUCACAUAAUAAAAAAGCCUCGGUAACAAGGCUUUGAGUUUUAUGAUUGUUUCUUAGGUACGGAAUACACUUCAAUGUGUUGUCCCAGUAUCUUAAUGUCGACGGGUAGAUUGUCUGAUUUAUCGCCAUCAACAUCGGACUCUAAUUCGAUAUCAGAAGAAGUUUUAAUAUUACGUGCCUUUAUAUAUUCAAUAUUCUUGAUAGAAUGAUUGAACUAUAGUAAAAUGAACCAAAAAUAGUACACAAUGUGGUAUAAUCUUCUUAUGGCAUAUUCAAUAGAUUUUCGUAAAAAAGUUCUCUCUUAUUGUGAGCGAACAGGUAGUAUAACAGAAGCAUCACACGUUUUCCAAAUCUCACGUAAUACCAUUUAUGGCUGGUUAAAGCUAAAAGAGAAAACAGGAGAGCUAAACCACCAAGUAAAAGGAACAAAACCAAGAAAAGUUGAUAGAGAUAGACUUAAAAACUAUCUUACUGAUAAUCCAGACGCUUAUUUGACUGAAAUAGCUUCUGAAUUUGGCUGUCAUCCAACUACCAUCCACUAUGCGCUCAAAGCUAUGGGCUACACUCGAAAAAAAAGAACCACACCUACUAUGAACAAGACCCAGAAAAAGUAGCCUUAUUUCUUAAGAAUUUUAAUAGUUUAAAGCACCUAGCACAGGUCUAACAAAUGGUGAAUUAAUCGCUCCAAUGACUUACGAAGAGAUGAUGACGAGCGACUUUUUUGAAGCUUGGUUUCAGAAUUUUCUCUUACCAACAUUAACCACACCAUCGGUUAUUAUAGUAAAAUGAAAUAAGAANUUUAUAGGUAUGGUAGGAGAGCGUUCUAUGUGUGAUGAAGGUAUACCGUGAGGAGUGCUGGAACGCAUAGAAGUGAGAAUGCCGGUAUGAGUAGCGAAAGACAGGUGAGAAUCCUGUCCACCGUAAGACUAAGGUUUCCAGGGGAAGGCUCGUCCGCCCUGGGUUAGUCGGGACCUAAGGAGAGACCGAAAGGUGUAUCCGAUGGACAACAGGUUGAUAUUCCUGUACUAGAGUAUGUAGUGAUGGAGGGACGCAGUAGGCUAACUAAAGCAGACGAUUGGAAGAGUCUGUCUAAGCAGUGAGGUGUGAAUUGAGUCAAAUGCUUAAUUCUAUAACAUUGAGCUGUGAUGGGGAGCGAAGUUUAGUAGCG
rnacentral:rRNA from 1 species